rnacentral:rRNA from 1 species
AUUGAACGCUGGCGGAAUGCUUUACACAUGCAAGUCGAACGGCAGCACGGGGGCAACCCUGGUGGUGAGUGGCGAACGGGUGAGUAAUACAUCGGAACGUGCCCAGUCGUGGGGGAUAACGUGGCGAAAGUUACGCUAAUACCGCAUACGAUCUACGGAUGAAAGCGGGGGACCGUAAGGCCUCGCGCGAUUGGAGCGGCCGAUGUCAGAUUAGGUAGUUGGUGAGGUAAAGGCUCACCAAGCGGACGAUCUGUAGCUGGUCUGAGAGGACGACCAGCCACACUGGGACUGAGACACGGCCCAGACUCCUACGGGAGGCAGCAGUGGGGAAUUUUGGACAAUGGGCGCAAGCCUGAUCCGGCCAUUCCGCGUGCGGGAUGAAGGCCCUCGGGUUGUAAACUGCUUUUGUACAGAACGAAAAGGUUUCUACUAAUACUAGGAGCUCAUGACGGUACUGUAAGAAUAAGCACCGGCUAACUACGUGCCAGCCGCCGCGGUAA